rnacentral:rRNA from 1 species
UACGUAGGGUGCAAGCGUUGUCCGGAAUUAUUGGGCGUAAAGAGCUCGUAGGCGGUCUGUCGCGUCGGCUGUGAAAUCCCGAGGCUCAACCUCGGGUCUGCAGUCGAUACGGGCAAACUGGAGUGUUGCAGGGGAGACUGGAAUUCCUGGUGUAGCGGUGAAAUGCGCAGAUAUCAGGAGGAACACCGGUGGCGAAGGCGGGGUCUCUGGGCAACAACUGACGCUGAGGAACGAAAGCGUGGGGAGCGAACAGG